rnacentral:rRNA from 1 species
GACGAACGCUGGCGGCGUGCCUAAUACAUGCAAGUUGAGCGCUGAAGGUUGGUACUUGUACCAACUGGAUGAGCAGCGAACGGGUGAGUAACGCGUGAGGAAUCUGCCUUUGAGCGGGGGACAACAUUUGGAAACGAAUGCUAAUACCGCAUAAAAACUUUAAACACAAGUUUUAAGUUUGAAAGAUGCAAUUGCAUCACUCAAAGAUGAUCCCGCGUUGUAUUAGCUAGUUGGUGAGGUAAAGGCUCACCAAGGCGAUGAUACAUAGCCGACCUGAGAGGGUGAGAGGCCACAUUGGGAAUGAGACACGACCCAAACUCCUACGGGAGGCAGCAGUAGGGAAUCUUCGGCGAUGGACGAAAGGCUGACCGAGCAACGCCGCGUGAGUGAAGAAGGUUUUCGGAUCGUAAAACUCUGUUGGUAGAGAAGAACGUUGGUGAGAGUGGAAAGCUCAUCAAGUGACGGUAACUACCCAGAAAGGGACGGCUAACUACGUG